CCGCCAUGCAUUUCGGAGACCGCACUGGGUCGACUUGGAGGGGCGUCUGAGCGGGCGGGAGAGUUCAGUCAUGGUGGCGCCCGCGGUGUUGCGUGCUUUGCGCAAAAACAAGACCCUUAGCUACGGAGUCCCGAUGUUGUUGCUGGUUGUUGGAGGUUCUUUUGGUCUUCGUGAAUUUUCACAAAUCCGAUAUGAUGCUGUGAAGAUUAAAAUCGAUCCUGAAUUGGAAAAAAAACUGAAAAUGAAUAAAAUAUCUUUAGAGUCAGAGUAUGAGAAAAUAAAGGACUCUACUUUUGAAGACUGGAAGAAUAUCCGAGGUCCGAGGCCUUGGGAAGAUCCUGAUCUACUCCAAGGACAAAAUCCAGAAACUCUUAAGACUAAGACAACCUGACUAUUCUUUUUUGUUCGUUUAAAUAUUAUCAAAUGGAUAUACUUCUAAUUCAGUGGGGAAAAAGUUCCAGACCUGCAGAAACCUGGAAAUAAGUAAUCUAAAUGGCAAAUAAUCUUGAUUAAGAAGUAAGUACAGGGUCUCACUAAGUUGCCGAGACUUUCAUUGAGUUGCUGACGCUGACUUCAAACUUGUGACCUUCCUGCCUUGGCCUCCAGAGUUGCCAGGAUUACAGGCAGAUGCCACCAUGCCUAGGCCAGGGCUACAGUUUGCUCCUUCAUUCUGAUUCUUAAUGAGAAUAGUAGACUUGGAUCCAAAUGCUCCAAAUUAAAUCAAGCAGUGAUUUUGUGUUAAAACCUAUGUAGGAAAAUAAUAAUGACAUAAUCUAAUAACAUUUUAGUUUUAUUUAUAGUAUCUUAUAUAUAGUGUGCUAAUCAGUCUCCUAAAGCAUCACUUGAUUAUUGUAUUGAUACCAGUAAAUGUGUUAAGAAAAUUAUGUAAUUCUUGGUUGAGCCAAAAAUAGUGAUGUUCAGAUAAUCCAUAAAUAACUACAAUUUGGGGAAUAUUGAUAUAAUGUAUGCCUUAGCAUAAUUUCAUGCAAAUUGACCCUAGUUUUUUUUUUGUUGUUCUUGUUGUUUUGUUUUUUGGGGCCAGGGAUUGAACCCAGGGGCACUUAACCACUGAGCCACAUCCUCAGCCCUUUAUAUAUAUAUUUUAAUUUAGAAACAGGUUCUCACUAAGUUGCUUUGGCCCUCACUAAGUUGCUGAGGCUGGCUUUGAACUCAAGAUCCUCCUUCCUCAGUCUCCCAAGCUGAUGGGACUUUUUUUUAUCCUUACAUUUACUAUAUAGUCUGAUCCCUAGGCAAAAGGAUAGGGAAGUUAGUUUUUUUUUUUUUUUUUUAACUCAUUUUCUCCUUUUCAUCCCUGUCUUGGACACCCUUUGAUCCCCUAUUUUCUGGUAUUUUCAUGCUGACUUCUAAAUGCCUUAAGUCUCAACUGAAAUAUUCCCACCAUAAUUGCCAACAAAUCAUAAAUCCAUGCUGUCCUUCCCCUAAUCAAAAUUUGUAUUCUUUUCAGCAGUUAGUUUUAGUAAAAAGCAGAGUAAACUGAUUACCUGGUGGUAAUAAUUUGUGAUAGAGAUUAUUCUUAAGCCUUAGUUACCUAGAGUAUGUGGGCAAAAGAAAAAAAGGGGAGGGAACCUCCACCCAAGCCUCACAAAAAGUAACUCAAAAGUGGGUCACUGGCUUAAAUGUAAACAUAUAAAACUUAGGAAAGAAACAGGGAAAAGUCUUCUAUACGUAGUAAAUAAUUUAUGAUUAAUAGUUCUUACCUCCCCCCCAAAUCUUAAAAGAACAACUUGACAAAUUGACCCCAUCAAGGUCACAAACUUUUCCUCCCUAAAGACUUAAAAAGGAUGAAAAGGCUGGGUCCCUUGGUGCAUGCCUGUAAUCCCAGCAGCUCGGGAGGCUGGGGCAGGAGGAUCGUGAGUUCAAAGUCAGCCUCAGCAAAGUCAGGCCUUAGUGAGGGCCUAAGCAACUUAGUGAGACCACGUCUCUAAAUAUAUAUAUAUAUAAAGGGCUGGGGAUGUGGCUCAGUGGUUAAGCACCCCUGGGUUCAAUCCCUGGUAUCAAAAAAAAUAAUAAUAAUAAUAAAAUAAAAAAAGAGAGAGAGAAAAGAACCUACAGACUGAGAGAAAUUAUUGGUAAAGACUCAUAUAGAAAAUAUAUCAAGAACUUUAGGAACUCAACAGAAAAAUUCCAAGCAUAUGAAAAGAAUGUGCACUACCCACUAGGGAAGUGUUAAAUUUAGACCACAGUGAAUACUACAUAUCUGUUGGAACAGCUAAAAUGAGAAAAAUAGUGGCAAUACCAAUACUGGCAAAGAUGUGAACAAACUAGAUCCCACAUAUUGCUGGUAUCGUGUCAAAUGGAACAACUGUUCUGGAAAAUUGACAGUUUCUUCAAAAGCAGUGUAAGGGACUUCUGCUUUCCAGAUUGACAUAUAAGAAUCUUAGAAGUUCUUACUCCCCUCCUAACAACUACAACAAAAAGCUAAAAAGGUAAACAUCAAUUCUCCUUUGGCCCAUCAGAAUUGAGGUCAUAGGACAAGCCACCAACCUAAAACUGGAGACAGGCAGAGAAUUAAUUUUCCUGGAGGAGAAUCUGCCCAGAAACUACUGGUGGAGCUAGCACUAAGUAGGAGUAGUCAAAGAGGAAUUGACUAAUUGCUGGAAACAAGCAGGGCCAACUUAAGAGAGAAAAACAGUUGGAGGCCAAUUUGGGGAGAAAGGCACAAUUAACAUGAGUUUUACCUUCAUGAGUCCUACCAGAUUCUCACAGUGAAUAUCAGAGGAAAAUCCUCUUAUGCUUCCAGAAGUAGGGGAAAGUAACCAUUUUGAAAUAUGACCAGAUAAUUUGGUUUCCCAUAACAAAAUCCUGGUCUCAAUGGAAACUUUUGCUAAAGACUAAUUACAUUGGAUUUCAUAAGAACCUAACCAACUGGGAGAAAAGAAAUACUCAACCCUGGCCCUCUUCAGCCUUCCUGUUUCACUUAAAAGGGAGCUGGGAAAAAGGGAGAAAGAGUGAGAAGUGCUUGCAAAGGUGAGAGCCCAAGGGCCUAGUUUCCAUUUUAAAAAACUAGUCAUAGGACUGUAGAAUGCUCCUUAUCCCCAUUAUCACUGCAUCACUAAAUGCCUAGUCAGUGGAGCUCCUUUUGCCCAGUACAUCAUUUAAAAUAUUCUGCAAAAAGGAAAGACAACACAUUUUGAAGAGACAAGCAUCAGACCCAGACUCAGAUAUGGCAGUGAUAUUGGAAUUACCAGACUGGGAGUUUGAAACAACUAUGAUUAGGGUUGGGGUUGUGGCUCAGUGGUAGAGUGCUCACUUUGCAUGUGUGAGGCCCUGGGUUCAUAAAAAUAAAGUCAUCAGCACCACAUACAAAUAAAAUAAAGGUAUUGUGUCCACCUACAACUGAAAUUUUUAAAAAGCCUUCAGAAAUAACUAUGAUUAAUAUGCUAAGAUCUCUAAUGGAGAAACUAUACAAUGUGCAAGAACAAAUUGAUAGUGGAGAAAUAGAACUAAUCAAAAUAAAUUCUAAAACUAUACACUGAACAGAUGGAAGAAUGCCUUUGAAGGGAUUAUCAAUAGAGUGAACAUGACUGAGGAAAGAGGGGAGGAGAGGAAGAGAAAUAGAUAUUCAAUGCUAAUACUAAUCAAAAGAAAGUUGGAAUCACUGUAUUAAUUUCAGACAACACUUAUUUAGGAGCAAGAAAAGGGGCAUUAUAUACUUAAAAGGGGUUCAUUCUCCAAGAAGACAUAAUCCUUAAUGUAUAUGUGUCUAAAAGUGAAGCUGCAAAAUACAUGAGGCAAAAACUGAUAUAACUACAAAAAGAAAUAGGUAAAAUAGACAAUUAUAGUAGAUUUAUAUAAUCUAUCCAAAAAUGACACGCAGCAGGCAGAAAAAUCAUUGAGGACAUAGAGGAAAUGAAGAGCACCAUUAGUCAACUGGAUAUAACUGACAUCUAUAGUGAACACCUCAUAUCCCCCCCCCCAAAAAAAAUACAUAUUCUCUUUAAACUCACAUUGAACAUUAACCACAGUAGGCAACCAUAAAACACAGCUUCAAAAAAUUUAAAAGACUGGAACUCAAAGUAUGCCUUUAGAACACUGGAAUUAAACUAGAAACCAAUGAGAUUGAAAAUUCCAAAAUACUUGGAGAUUAAACAAUACUACUCUUCUAAAUAGCACACAGGUCAAAGGAGAAGUCUAAAGAGCAAUAUAAGAUAUUUUGUACAAAAUGAAAUUGAAAAUACAACUUAUCACAGUUUGGUAAGGCAAAAAUUUUCUUUGAAGGAAGUUAAUAGAAUGAGUACAUGUGUAAGAAGAAAAGGAAAAUUAAAAUUACUAGCCUAAGUUUUUCUACCUUAGGAAAGUUAAAAAAAAAAUUAAAAAAAAAAGAGCUAAUUAAAUGCCAAGAAACCAGAAAAAAAUGGGUGAGAAGGAGGGCUAAUAAAAACCAG